rnacentral:tRNA from 1 species
AUUAGGGUGGCAGAGUCAGGUAAAUUGCACAAGACCUAAACCCUUGUACCAGAAGUUCAACCCUUCUCCCUAAUC